rnacentral:misc_RNA from 1 species
GAUGAAGAACGCAGCGAAAUGCGAUAAGUAAUGUGAAUUGCAGAAUUCAGUGAAUCAUCGAAUCUUUGAACGCACAUUGCGCCCGCCAGUAUUCUGGCGGGCAUGCCUGUUCGAGCGUCAUUUCAACCCUCAAGACCCCUUCGGGGGACUUGGUGUUGGGGACCGGCACAGGGGCCUGCCUGCUUGUCUUGCAGCGCCCUCGCCGCCCCCGAAAUGAAUUGGCGGCCUCGUCGCGGCCUCCCCUGCGUAGUAGCACAACCUCGCAACGGGAACGUGACGGCGGCCACUGCCGUAAAACAACCCAAUUUUAUUAGAGUUGACCUCGAAUCAGGUAGGAAUACCCGCUGAACUUAAGCAUAUCAAUAAGCGGAGGA